rnacentral:tRNA from 1 species
GGUUUCAAGUCCCUCUAUCCCCA